UGUCAGAAAAAAAUUACUAAUAAUGGUAUAUUGUGUACUUUUGUAUAAACAUCAUAAAUGUCAGCACAAAUAUAGUGAAUAAAAACUAAAGAAUAAUAAGUAAGGUUCAUAAGUAUCCUGUAGGCUUGGCUAACCUAAAUGAGUACCCAAGGUUAAGACAGCUUUCAUUAGUGUUCAUACUUGUUUCAUAUUAAGUUGUAAAGUAGAACAAGCUAGAAAAACACCUGGUUACUAGGUUGGUCAGUGGUGAGCAUUGGUGGAGCUUCCCCCUUUCAAAAAGCAAAACUUUAUUUGAUAUAAGGGAGCAAGUAACUCCUGCUUACUUGUACUAAUUGAUUAUCAACUGUAAACAUUACUUCAUGUAUACAUUUAAAUGGUUAUGAUAUCUGAUUUGAAAUAUCAUAUUACAUCCACUAUUACUUUUUUCACCAUUUUUAUAUAUAAAAUUGGCAUUUUUUUCCUUUUCAAAUGUAUAAAAAGGCCUGUUUUUCACAUCUUCACAUAUAAAAAAAGCCCUGUUGUAUUUUCUAUAUUCAUAAAGGCCUCUAAUGUUUCCUGUAUUUAAAAAAGGGCCUUUUUUAAAAGUGCAAGAUGUUUGUAGUAUUUUGGAAGGUUUUUUUACAAUGGCCACUGUUCAGUAAUGUUCUAGAUGAAAAAAGGCACUUCUCUUUUUUUUCUAUGGAAGGAUCUUUAACAUUCAAAAGGCUUUCUGACCAAAAUUAUGAAAGAUAAGAAAUAGUAAUUGUGGAAUACUUUUAAAGAGAAACAGGACAAAAUUUUCAGAUGCAGAGAAACUUAACAAUGUCUAAAAAUUACUUUCUGCUUUUCAGGUCAGAAGCUCAAGAUAUCUAAGCAUAAGUGGAUCAGAUAUGACUGUGAUUCUUCAAGAACUCUCACGAUCAGGGCUGGGCAGGAUGGGAUGUCCUCUCUACCCACCAAUCAGGCCUGGGCAGGAAGUGAUGUCCUCUCCAACCAACCACCAGUGGGGCCGGGGCAGGAAAUGAUGCCUUCUCUACGCACCAGAGUACCAUUACUUGACAUUUCUUAAUAGUGUCCACAUCAUUCCACUGGUGUGUCUGCUUUUAGGACAUGUGGACAGUCUCUCAGCCUGGCUGCCUUGAAGCUUCCAAUUAUAAUUCACACAUCCUUUUUGGAUACUGCUGCAGCCAGGAUGCAAAUGGACCUCAGUUUCUCAUUGCCAGGGAAGUGGCAGAGGCGGCGAAGGCUCUGCCGCAGAAGUGGCAGAGGAGGCAAAGGCUCUGGUAAAGCCCCCAACUAAUAUAUGGCUAUCCACUGACCCUGAAAGACACCCAAACAACACCAAUGUUUGUGAAGUAACAAGAAUUAUGUGCAA